rnacentral:rRNA from 1 species
UACAGAGGGGGCAAGCGUUAUUCGGAAUUAUUGGGCGUAAAGGGCGCGUAGGCGGCGAUUCAAGUGACGGGUGAAGUCCCUCGGCUUAACCGAGGAACUGCCUGUCAGACUGGAUUGCUUGAGGCCGGGAGAGGCGAGUGGAAUUCCCAGUGUAGCGGUGAAAUGCGUAGAUAUUGGGAGGAACACCAGUGGCGAAGGCGGCUCGCUGGACCGGUUCUGACGCUGAGGCGCGAAAGCGUGGGGAGCAAACAGG